CAAUAAGCGGAGGAAAAGAAACUAACAAGGAUUCCCCUAGUAACGGCGAGUGAAGCGGGAAAAGCUCAAAUUUGUAAUCUGAUGCCUUCGGUAUCCGAGUUGUAAUCUCGAGAAGUAUUUUCCGCGCUGGACCGCACAUAAGUCUGUUGGAACACAGCGUCAUAGUGGUGAGAACCCCGUAUAUGGUGCGGAUGCCCAGUGCUUUGUGAUAUACUUUCGAAGAGUCGAGUUGUUUGGGAAUGCAGCUCAAAUUGGGUGGUAAAUUCCAUCUAAAGCUAAAUAUUGGCGAGAGACCGAUAGCGAACAAGUACCGUGAGGGAAAGAUGAAAAGCACUUUGGAAAGAGAGUUAACAGUACGUGAAAUUGUUGGAAGGGAAACGCUUGAAGUCAGACUUGCAUUUUGGAGUUCAGCCGCAAGGUGUAUUCUUCGAUUCGCAGGCCAGCAUCAGUUUUUGGGGGUGGAAAAUCGUGGUUUGAAGGUAGCAGUCUCGGCUGUGUUAUAGCUUUCCACUGGAUUCACUUUUGGGGACUGAGGAACGCAGUACGCUUUUUGCAAGACUUUCGAGUUUUUCGUACUUAGGAUGCUGGUGGAAUGGCUUUAAACGACCCGUCUUGAAACACGGACCAAGGAGUCUAACAUGCUUGCGAGUGUUUGGGUGUUAAACCCGGACGCGUAAUGAAAGUGAAUGUAGGUGGGAUCCGCAAGGUGCACCAUCGACCGAUCUGGAUUUUCUAAGAUGGAUUUGAGUAAGAGCAAUUAUGUUGGGACCCGAAAGAUGGUGAACUAUGCCUGAAUAGGGUGAAGCCAGAGGAAACUCUGGUGGAGGCUCGUAGCGGUUCUGACGUGCAAAUCGAUCGUCAAAUUUGGGUAUAGGGGGCGAAAGACUAAUCGAAC
rnacentral:rRNA from 1 species